GCACCCGUAGCUCAGGUGGAUAGAGCGAUAGUUUCCUAAACUGUGUCAGCCGCAGGUUCGAAUCCUGCCGGGUGCACCA
rnacentral:tRNA from 1 species